AGAAGUUUAUUCUGACAUGCGGUGCCAUAGCCAAUAGAUCUUCGUCUAAGAAUACAAGUUGUGAGGAAUGAAGAUUUUAAAAUUUAAAUAGAUAUAAGCAUGAUUUGAAGAAUCUUUAACAUUUGAUAUUGUUUGGGGACUGUUGUAGAUCCGGAUUACCUUUAACAAUUGUUUAAUUGAGAAAAAUUGUUUAAUUGGGACAACUAUGAGAAUUUGCAGUGGUAUCAGAUUCACCAUUGACAAAACUCAAGGUAUCUUUGGCAGCUGCUACAUUUAAUCGUAGUGUUACUUACAAAUUGUAAUGGCAUCAAACGCAGAAAUUUUUUUAGACAGUCCGGUGCCGACAAACAUUAACUGCUUCAUAUGCACGAAAUUAGCAAUUGCCUCUCCUUAAAGAAUACGCCGUCAAAAUUUCAACGAGUUGCUAAUUAUGGAUGAAAAAACAGUUAAAUUAAAAUUAACAAAUGUGACUUUAAAUUAUUACAAUAAAUGAAAAUGAAAUGAAAUGAAAUUUUAUGUUGUAAACCUCAAUUAAUGAAAUAAAAUUAAGAAAAUUAGUAAAAUUUUGCAAAAAUUCAACGAAUGGAUAUUUAUGGAAGAAAAAUCGGUUAAAUUAAUAUUAACAAAUUUUAUGCCGUAAAACUUAAUGAAUUAAAUAAGACCGCAAGAAAAAAAUAGAAAAGCUAUUUCGUAGUUCAGCUCUGGUGGAUAUGGACCAUCGUGUGGCGUUGUCACUAUCACUUCAGCGGAUCUGUGGCUUCGAGAAUUUUGAGUAUCAAAUUCACAACCUAUAAAUCCGUAGUCGUAUAACUGCACUGUAUCACGUUUUUCGAUGUUUACUCAUUGACUAUCUGUAUUCGUUUUAACUCUACCUAAAAUUUUUGGAGUACUGUGAUGGACCAAAUAAAACUAUAUUUUGUAUUUUGCCCAGUUGUUCUGGAAAAUUUACGUUAGCGUAGUGAAUCUAGGAUUUGGGCCAACUGAAAUGAUUGCGUUCUUAUUCCUUUUUGUGCCAAAAUAAAAAUUUUAGUGUCAGAAGCAUAGAUGCCAGAUGGUUUCUUACAUAAUAAAUUUUAAAUUCGUUGAAGAUCAUACAAAAACGAGCCUGUUAAGAAAAUAGUGAUAAUAUCUAUCAAUCUAUUUUGAAGAUAGUAAAAAUUUGUGAUUAAGCGUAUUAUAUAGUUUUUGAAAAAAACUUCUCUUAUCCGUUUUAAAACUGUUUGUUUGUAUUUCUCUUUAUAUAUGUAUGUUAUACGGAUUAAAAAGCUGCAAAUCUCUUAUCCUUUUCGGUAGCACCUACUAUACAUAGUGGUUCCUAUGGCACCUAAAGGGGCAAAUUAAUUGCCUCUUUAAGUGGUAAUUUUAAUAUAUAUAUUAAUAUUUUUAAUAAAAUAUCUUAUCUUGCAAAA
rnacentral:lncRNA from 1 species